CUCUUUUAUUUCUUUGUUGUCUCUUUUUGUUCCAUUUAUCGUGGACUGAAAUUAGGUCUCUUCCCUUCACCAGAAAGAAAUAAAGAAAGAAAGUCCAAUCCAUUGGGGUACGAAGAUGUCUCUCUCUGAUCCCAUGAGCAUGGUUGUUACAGACCCAUGCUACUUGUGUCAAUUCGAGCAGGUGGGGGUAAAAAGUGUACUUGUGAUUUCAGGAUGGCAGUCCUUAAGUUAAUUGUACUACGCUCUAUAUCCGUCUGAGGCCAUGAGCAUAGUUACUGGUUCCUCAUGCCACAUGAUUGUGACCAUCAAUGUGGGUUUACAAAUGAGGGAAAUGGUUCGGAAGCAAGAUGGUCAAAAGAAGACCAAUGUAGUAAGGUCUUCACCUACAACGGCUUGAGUUGAUGAAGUGAAACAUCAAGAUAUAGGCAAACCUUCAAAAGGAAGACCAUUUGUCAUAGAUUUCUGUUUGAUCGGACACCAACAGCUACACGAAUAAAGAGUCGUCGCCACACAUUUGGACCCAACGGUUCUAGCACGUCUGCAAUUGAUAAUCACCCAUUACAUGGCAUUCAAACUUGAUGAACAAUUAAUAUAUACUUUCUUAGAUUAGGGCAUAAAGUUUUGUUCAGCAUCAAACAUCUAUUGCCUGUUCUUUUCUUGUCUAAAUCUUUAUUUUGUUGAGAUAAGCAUAUGAUUAUUUCAUGAAUGCAUACAA